CGGGUGAGUAACACGUGAGUAACCUGCCCCAGACUCUGGGAUAACUUCGGGAAACCGUAGCUAAUACCGGAUAUGACACGGAGAUGCCUGUCUACCGUGUGGAAAGUUUUUCGGUCUGGGAUGGACUCGCGGCCUAUCAGCUUGUUGGUGAGGUAAUGGCUCACCAAGGCGACGACGGGUAGCCGGCCUGAGAGGGCGAUCGGCCACACUGGGACUGAGACACGGCCCAG
rnacentral:rRNA from 1 species